rnacentral:lncRNA from 1 species
AGCCCUGCAGGGCCCAGUGCUGGACCAGGGCCUUGUCUCCAGCCUCUCCCCCAUGGGACUCUGGGGCCUUUGGGGGCCCUUGGGGGCCUUCCUGCACCCUCACACCUACUCAUCUCUGGACUCAGCCUCAGUGUGAAUGCUCACCUCGGGCUGAGCCAACCCCUCCAGACACGUUCUGCAGCUCGAGGAAGGAACUGCCCUUUGCAGCUGGGAUCUGCCCGAGUUUCAGCAGCAGCCUUGAAUUGUAAUCCCGAGCGGCUGGCGAAUAACACAGCACACAGCACUCGAGAGCCCAGACCCUGGCAGGCACGCACAAGCUGCUGGACGUGGAGAGGAGCGGAUUGGCAGAGGAGCACUCAGGCGGCUGGACGUCGAGAGGAACGCACUGACGGGCGCCGGCACCCCGGCAGGCUACCAACCGGCAGCAGAAUGACCUGGAGUUUGGCUGGGGCAGCCAGAGGAGAGCCCGGGCCCGACUCCAGGGGAAAACCGUCCCACUCCAUCUUCUUCUGCCUUCCCCCAUCUGCUACCUCCACUCAAUAAAACCUUGCACUCAUUCUCCG